rnacentral:rRNA from 1 species
GACGAACGCUGGCGGCGUGCUUAACACAUGCAAGUCGAACGGAAAGGCCCUGCUUUUGUGGGGUGCUCGAGUGGUGAACGGGUGAGUAACACGUGAGUAACCUGCCCUUGACUUUGGGAUAACUUCAGGAAACUGGGGCUAAUACCGGAUAGGAGCUCCUGCUGCAUGGUGGGGGUUGGAAAGUUUCGGCGGUUGGGGAUGGACUCGCGGCUUAUCAGCUUGUUGGUGGGGUAGUGGCUUACCAAGGCUUUGACGGGUAGCCGGCCUGAGAGGGUGACCGGCCACAUUGGGACAGAGAUACGGCCCAGACUCCUACGGAAGGCAGCAGUGGGGAAUAUUGAACAAUGGGCGGAAGCCUGAUGCAGCAACGCCGCGUGCGGGAUGACGGCCUUCGGGUUGUAAACCGCUUUCGCCUGUGACGAAGCGUGAGUGACGGUAAUGGGUAAAGAAGCACCGGCUAACUACGUG